UACGUAGGUGGCGAGCGUUGUCCGGAUUUACUGGGCGUAAAGGGAGCGUAGGCGGAUUUUUAAGUGAGAUGUGAAAUACUCGGGCUCAACUUGAGUGCUGCAUUUCAAACUGGAAGUCUAGAGUGCAGGAGGGGAGAAUGGAAUUCCUAGUGUAGCGGUGAAAUGCGUAGAGAUUAGGAAGAACACCAGUGGCGAAGGCGAUUCUCUGGACUGUAACUGACGCUGAGGCUCGAAAGCGUGGGGAGCAAACAGG
rnacentral:rRNA from 1 species